GUCCUAGACAGACCUCAUUCUAGACUCUGCUCUGCCACAGAUCGUCGGUGUCUGUCUUUGUAUGCUUAAUUACAAAAAAUGGGGACUAUAAAUAAAGUAAUGCUCCCUUUUCCCUCAGAGAGAUGCGGUGAACAUCAGGGAGACCAGACUUGAAGCACCACCCACAGUUGGGCAAGGUGGACCAAAAGGCUCUGUUCUGAUCCAAAGCUGGAUGAAGACCAGUGUUUCUAAAGUUAAAUGAAGUGGGCUGAGUUUGGAGCUGUGGAAUCUGGGGCUAUGAACUUUGGAGCUAUGGAGCGUGGGGCUGUGGAGGCGUGGACUGUGUUCAUCCAGCGUAUUCCUCUGACCUUCUUCUGGCUUAUGUCUGCUUCUUCCAUCACCUGAACCACUCUUUUGCUGGGGAACACUUCUGUAACUGGCUUUGUGAAGAUGACAUUUUCCAAGAAUUCAUUGGAUAUGAAGGCACAAGUUUUUACAUUAUUGGAAAACCAAACAUGUCUCACUGGGGGAAAAAAAUGUGUUGAUCAGAAUGGUUUCUGUUGUGGCUCAAAGGCAUGUGUCUGAGCCUCGUUGGAGUGAUGCAGAACUCGCCAUCUAAAACCUCAGUUAUUCCGCACUGACCUGAACCUCAGGCCAGAUUGGUUGUUUGGGGGUAAAGGGCCCCACUCUGGUUUCUGGCUUCGACCUUAAGCUGAUUUUAAGCUCAUCUUGUUGCCAUUCACCCAGGAAAAUUUGAGGAGAGCAAGAAAACCCAGCUAGAUACAUUUUUUUUUCUCCUUUGCUUCUUAAUCUCUUAACAUUCCAUCAGUGUAUAUUCAUUAUAUAAAGAGAUGGGUUUAUAAUGGCUCAAGAGGAGAAUGCUCACUGACCAUGCCUCUCGCCAAUUACCCCUCCUGUCCCCACCCCAAUUAGUCCCCUAAAAUUUUCAUGUCAUGUGUGUGUGUGUUUAUGUACAAUUUAGGUUCUACAUAGAGAAAUUCUAGUAGUCUGGCCUUCAAAGCUUACUGUAACCUGCUGAGUGACGUCCACAUCUCUGUAAAUGGCAUGAGUAGCUUUUCUAAAGCCAUUUGUCCUUAAAGUCUUCGUUCUGGCUCAGCAGCUCUUUUAAGACUUAUUUAUUUUUAUCUUGUGCGGGUGAGCAGAUCUGACUUUGUCUCCCAGGAGAAGGCUUAGGACACACAGGCCCAGCGCUUUGCCUGGGCCCUUGCUGUUCGGUGGUCUGUGAUGCUCUCUCCUCAGCAGGAGCAUGCUAAGUGUCAGUCCAUGUCCUGGGAGUAGCUUUCCCCUCUGUACGACUUGGAGACAAACACCUCUUCUGUGCACCUCAAUUACUGAAUCCACUGCCCUCAAAUUAGUUCUGUCUAGUCUGUCAGAGGUGUCCCUGAGGCUGUAUUAGUGAAUUGAGUAGAGUCCGGACAUCUGAACUGGCCCACGGGGCCUCCUCCUCCACCCCUCUUGACCUUACCCUGUGCACAGCCCCCCUACUCUGGUCAUCCUGUAAAAGGCCAGUCCAUACUUAAGCCUGUCUACUCUUAGAGACUUAUGUGUGAUUUGCUUCUUUUUUGGGAGGUACCAAAGCCCCUAUUAAAAUGCACCUAUU
ensembl:antisense C330018A13Rik RIKEN cDNA C330018A13 gene